UCCCCUGUAGUUUAGUGGGAGAACACGCGGACAAUUCAAUCCGUGGACAGGGGUUCAAGUCCUCUCGGGGGAU
rnacentral:tRNA from 1 species